rnacentral:lncRNA from 1 species
GAGCCUUAGUUAGAAUCUCUGCCUUCACCAACCUGUGGGCAUGUGUGUCUGUGUAUAUAGGCUUUUGUGCCCACUUCUGUUUGGCCUGUGUUCCGAUCUCGGCAUGUGUAUUUGUACCCAGCUACCCUGUGUAUGGGUGCUGUUCUUAUGUCAAGGUCAUACCCCCUUGGUCGUUCUAGCCUCCUAAUAUAAUCUAAAUCAGUAAGGGUGUGAUGGUUUGUAUAUUCUUGGGCCAGGGAGUGGCACCAUUUGGAGGUGUGACCUGGUUGGAAUAGGUGUGGCCUGGUUGGAGUAGGUGUGUCACUGUGGGUGUGGGCUUAAGAUCCUCACCCUAGUUGCCUGGAAGUCAGUCUUCCACUAGCAGCCUUUGGAUGAAGACGUAGAACUCUCAGUUCUGCCUGCGCCAUGACAGCCUGGAUGCUGCCAUGCUCCCACCUUGAUGACAAUGGACUGAACCUCUGAACCUCUGGGAUGUUACUGUGGAAAGAAGGCCCUCUCCCUGGAGGCUCUGUGAUCAGAACCCAGGCUUUUUCUCCAGUCACUUCCAGGGUCAGUUUGAUAGUGACAAUCUGAAAGAACCGGCCGUGGGUGGAUCAACUCCAAGUCUGACACAGGCAAUGGCUUCCUGCUGCUCACAGAGAAACGUCCCUAUGAGAUGACAUCAGGGAAGCCCUGAACGUUGUUGGGUAACAGAUUGAGAGCAAGGGUCAGAGGAAGACAGAGCUUGCUUCUGUAGCAAGCUGCAGCCUGUGCCAUGGCACAAGCACCUCCUGAUGUGCAACACGGCUCCUCAUUCCUGACCUCAUCAGAGGGGGAGCCCAGCCUUGCUCCAGCUUGUUUCUCAGCAGGGUGACAUCACCACCAUUCUUGAAGGCAGCUUUCUUGUGCUGUGCUGGGUUCUGUCAACACAACCAUCCCUGCCUGUGAUUUUAGUCAGUUUUGUGUGGCUGAAGAAAUCCCAAACUGAUCUUUUCCAAUGACUUUCUAAUGCAUGAUUUAAAAAAAAAUAAAAACGUGUUCUCAGGUAUUAA